UGUUUUGGGUGGGUAUUUUGGGGAGCCGAAAGGCUCGCCGGUCUUACGUCCGGUCUGUCAACCCGAUUUAUCCGCCCGCCCCG
rnacentral:antisense_RNA from 1 species